rnacentral:rRNA from 1 species
UACGUAGGGGGCUAGCGUUGUCCGGAAUCAUUGGGCGUAAAGCGCGCGUAGGCGGCCCGGUAAGUCCGUUGUGAAAGUCAAAGGCUCAACCUUUGAACGCCGAUGGAUACUGCCGGGCUAGAGUCCGGAAGAGGCGAGUGGAAUUCCUGGUGGUAGCGGUGGAAUGCGCAGAUAUCAGGAGGAACACCGAUAGCGAAGGCAGCUCGCUGGGACGGUACUGACGCUGAGGCGCGAAAGCGUGGGGAGCGAACAGG